AUAAUUCUAUCUUCAGCAGCAUCUUUAAGUGAAAAAAUAUGAUUUUCUCCACAACCUUCAUCACCAGCCUUAUCCUCUUCUCAAUCUCAUUUGGCCAGAUUAUUUCUCUGUUUCAACAUUCUGUGAACAUUACAGGAAUAAUUUCAUGUCCAAUUGGAGGGAUUCUCAGUCUUAUGUUCAGGAUUAAAUAUGCACAACUGGGAGAGAAGCAUGAUCACAGCCCAUCUAGGAGGAAAGUCAUAACCUGGAAUCACGAAUGAAGAAAAUCAUUAUGGAUAUCAGAAUUUUAAAAUUAUCAGAUACUGAGAAAUCUAAAGUUGUUUCUGCACUUCCCUGAUCCCAGCACACUCACCUUUUAAAGAUCACAAAGACAGAUGUUGACCUUCUCCUGAUAACUGAGCCUUGGCAAGAUUCAACCUAUAUAGACAGAUAAGCAAGAAAGACAUGUGAUUGAAACUGAAGGAGUAAUCUGUAAGAAUACAGGAUGCUGAACUGCUUGCUCCAAUGGCCAUUCGACUGUAAAAAUACUCCACUUUUGGCAUUUCUCUCUGGUGCCACUCAAAGCAUUUCUUCAAGAUUCUGCUGCAGGCCACAAAAGAUCUCACGCAGUUUCUUAAAAAGCUCAGAAGAAGCAGUAUGUGUCUUAUCCUCAGGUCAAACUCUCCAGCACAGAAGAUUGAGAGCGGAGCUAUUCCUAUCUCAGGGACUCAGAGGCCAAGGAGAGUAUUAUUUUGAUUUUCCGAAGUGAAGACACAACUGGACGUCCUAUAUAUUCCAAGUGAUAAAAUGCCUACCUGAUGAGAUCUAGUGAGGUUGCAAGAUCUAUGAUGAAGUCUACUUUUUUGGCUCAAGCUCAUAUAUGAUUGUCCAGUGCUUACCUACCACAGGACCUAGAAGGGGGAAAUAUCCAUUUUCAUCAACAGAAAAGAAAACUAAGUGAUAGUAAGAGACAGCAAUAAAUCCAUAGAGGAUGACAGUCUCCAGAAACAAGAGAAUGUGAAAAAUUAAUUCUACCUUCUUGAAGGAGCAAAGAAAUUUGGUUUAAAAAAACAUGUAUGUAUAACCGAGAAAGAUAAAAAGAAGGUACAACAAUCUUUGUAUAGUGUCUAAAAAUAUAAUGCAAAUUGAAAUUCAGUGUGUUCUUUUAGUGAUUUUUAAAAUGGCAUUUUAUAUUUGAAUAUUAGAUAUAUUAAAAUUAUAUAAAGUUAUACGUGUAUUUUUUAUGAAGUCACAUAAGCAAUAUUAUAUGACUUUUGUUGCAAUGUGCCAGCAAUUCUUCUUGCUUUGUGUGGUGGAAACUCCUUAUCAUAAAUAUUGUCAUAAAUUAUUAUCUGAGUUCUUUUGGUUGUUGUUUUGGUCUUAUGCAUUAC